rnacentral:rRNA from 1 species
GACGAACGCUGGCGGCGUGCCUAAUACAUGCAAGUCGAACGAGAGCGACCGGUGCUUGCACUGGUCAAUCUAGUGGCGAACGGGUGAGUAACACGUGGGUAACCUGCCCAUCAGAGGGGGAUAACAUUCGGAAACGGAUGCUAAAACCGCAUAGGUCUUCGAACCGCAUGGUUUGAAGAGGAAAAGAGGCGCAAGCUUCUGCUGAUGGAUGGACCCGCGGUGCAUUAGCUAGUUGGUGAGGUAACGGCUCACCAAGGCCGUGAUGCAUAGCCGACCUGAGAGGGUGAUCGGCCACAUUGGGACUGAGACACGGCCCAAACUCCUACGGGAGGCAGCAGUAGGGAGUCUUCCGCAAUGGACGCAAGUCUGACGGAGCAACGCCGCGUGAGUGAAGAAGGUUUUCGGAUCGUAAAACUCUGUUGUUAGAGAAGAACAAGUGCUAGAGUAACUGUUAGCGCCUUGACG